rnacentral:misc_RNA from 1 species
AGGAGAAUGAAGGAAAAGAAAGACAUGGUGGAGCCUGAAGCGGAUCCAGAGAGAGAUCAAAGGACUGUAUUUGCUUAUCAGAUGCCUUUGAAGGCCACGGAGAGAGAUGUUUACGAAUUCUUUUCAAAAGCGGGAAAGGUGAGAGAUGUCCGACUGAUCAUGGACAGGAAUUCUAGACGGUCAAAAGGAGUUGGCAAUGCGAUAAUGAUGAGGGAUGGUGGGAAUACAAUGCAGUCAU